CGGAGGGUGCAAGCGUUAUCCGGAUUCACUGGGUUUAAAGGGUGCGUAGGUGGGUAAGUAAGUCAGUGGUGAAAUCUCCGGGCUUAACCCGGAAACUGCCAUUGAUACUAUUUGUCUUGAAUACUGUGGAGGUCAGCGGAAUAUGUCAUGUAGCGGUGAAAUGCUUAGAUAUGACAUAGAACACCAAUUGCGAAGGCAGCUGGCUACACAAAUAUUGACACUGAGGCACGAAAGCGUGGGGAUCAAACAGGAUUAGAUACCCUGGUAGUCCACGCCCUAAACUAUGGAUACUCGACAUUUGCGAUAAACUGCAAGUGUCCGAGCGAAAGCAUUAAGUAUCCCACCUGGGAAGUACGAUCGCAAGAUUG
rnacentral:rRNA from 1 species